CCUACGGGAGGCAGCAGUGAGGAAUAUUGGUCAAUGGGCGGGAGCCUGAACCAGCCAAGUCGCGUGAGGGAAGACGGUCCUAUGGAUUGUAAACCUCUUUUGUCGGGGAGCAAAGAGAUCACGUGUGGUCAAAAGCGAGAGUACCCGAAGAAAAAGCAUCGGCUAACUCCGUGCCAGCAGCCGCGGUAAUACGGAGGAUGCGAGCGUUAUCCGGAUUUAUUGGGUUUAAAGGGUGCGCAGGCGGCGAGUUAAGUCAGCGGUAAAAUUUCGGGGCUCAACCCCGACGAGCCGUUGAAACUGGCUUG
rnacentral:rRNA from 1 species